rnacentral:rRNA from 1 species
UACGUAGGGCGCAAGCGUUGUCCGGAAUUAUUGGGCGUAAAGAGCUCGUAGGCGGCUUGUCACGUCUGCUGUGAAAUCUCGGGGCUUAACUCCGGGCCUGCAGUGGGUACGGGCAGACUAGAGUGCGGUAGGGGAGACUGGAAUUCCUGGUGUAGCGGUGGAAUGCGCAGAUAUCAGGAGGAACACCAAUAGCGAAGGCAGCUCGCUGGGACGUUACUGACACUGAGGCGCGAAAGCGU